rnacentral:rRNA from 1 species
GACGAACGCUGGCGGCGUGCUUAACACAUGCAAGUCGAACGAGUGGCGAACGGGUGAGUAACACGUGGGUGACCUGCCCUGCACUUCGGGAUAAGCCUGGGAAACUGGGUCUAAUACCGGGUAGUGUGGGAUGGGUCUGCGGCCUAUCAGCUUGUUGGUGGGUUAAUGGCUACGAAGGCGCGACGGGUAGCCGGCCUGAUAGGGUGGACGGCCACAUGGGAACUGGGACACGGACCAGACUCCUACGGGAGGCAGCAGUGGGGAAUAUUGCACAAUGGGCGCAAGCCUGAUGCAGCCAUGCCGCGUGUAUGAAGAAGGUUUUCGGAUCGUAAAGCUCUGUUGUUAGGAAAGCGGUAUCUGACCAAGAAGCCAAGGCUAACUACGUGCCAGCAGCCGCGGUAAUUC